CACCAGGAAAAUGAAUCUCUUUCUAAAAUUUAAGAUGAUGAAACCGGGACCCAGAAUGAUCAAGUAACUUGACCAAGGCCAUAUAGGUAGUAAAGGACAGCUUUCAACCCAAGAAAUAUGGUUUCAGAGAUUGAGUUUGAGAGAAAUAACAUUUCCGGAAGAGGAGGAAACAUUUAUAAAAGUACAAAAGGAACCACAAAGUGGUGCUAUGACGUAGAAGGAAGUGUUGGGUCCAAAUAUAUUCCUAGCUUCUGCAUACCUCUUUGCCAUAGCUAGAUAAUCCUCUUCAGAUGCCAUUCUUCAUUUCAUUCCCAUGAUCAAAGACCAAAACUGACCUGCAGCAGAAGGGCUGUGGGAAUGAAACCACUACCUUCCCUGUUCAACUAGGGGUGAUGGUGCAUGGUACCCCCAUGGUUAAGAGGGACGUCAGUGACACCACCACCACCACCAUCUUGUGCUGAGACAAACCAUCCCCAGACCCCCAAGAAAACAAACAAGGUCAUCCUGUGUGGUUCUAGUUCCUAAAAUAAAUGAAACU